CAGUCGCCACGGGAAUACAGAGGGUGCGAGCGUUAAUCGGAUUUACUGGGCGUAAAGCGUGCGUAGGCGGCUUCUUAAGUCGGAUGUGAAAUCCCUGAGCUUAACUUAGGAAUUGCAUUCGAUACUGGGAAGCUAGAGUAUGGGAGAGGAUGGUAGAAUUCCAGGUGUAGCGGUGAAAUGCGUAGAGAUCUGGAGGAAUACCGAUGGCGAAGGCAGCCAUCUGGCCUAAUACUGACGCUGAGGUACGAAAGCAUGGGGAGCAAACAGGAUUAGAUACCCGUGUAGUCCCUGUCUCUUUACA
rnacentral:rRNA from 1 species